GGCAAAAUCAUAAUUUCACUAAAAUCCUGAUUUGAUGGUACCAUUUGGUAGAAUAAAUGAUUUGAAAUCUAUUGAUGAAAAUUUCAUUGUGUUUGGACUUAUAUUUUUGAAGUUAUGAAGGUUUGAAGUGCAUGAGUCGACUCAUGAGUCAACUCAUGGCACUAUGAGCUGAUUGGCACGCAAAAAUUCCCUUUGGCACGCUAGUUUUCUGGCUUGGCACGACCUGUGAGUUGACUCAUGAGUCGACCCACAAGGCAUGAGUCGACUCAUGAGUCGACCCCUG
rnacentral:lncRNA from 1 species